CACCCUCGGAUGCAGCGCAUCCGGACCCAUGGACUUGUGCUCGUUCAGCUUUUCUAAGGUCCAAACAUGGAACCAGAGCAGAUUAGGCAGUAGGAAGUGACUCCUGUUCCCACAUCUUCUGCAGAGUCUCUGAGCUAGGGUAGAGGCAGGAUCCGGAAAAACCACACCAUAAUUUACACACCUGCCAUAGUGCGGCACCUGUUACCACAAGGGUUUCCGUGCACUGCUUUGCUUGGUGGGUUUGGAACAGAGCUGGAUGAGCCUCUGCUGUGCAGACGGCAUGGGUUCAGCCCUUCCCCCUCUCCAAAUGGAGUGUGCUAGGGUCAUGGAGUCCCUCCUGGCUCUCCUGGGCCUGGAACCGGCUGUUUUACAGCCAUGACCAUGACAUCACUGUCAGCCAAGUCGAACAGCUACUGAAAGCCAUGUGGGACAAGUGUAAGAAUAGGAGGUUAGGAGCCAGGACACCUGAAUUCCAUGCCUGGGCCUGCUAUUGACUUGCACGUUUUGCAAGUGACAAAGCUGCUCUAUGCCUCAGUUUACCAACCUCAGCGGGCAUUGUGACGCUUUGCUGAUCAUUUGCCAAGUUCUUUGAGAGCUUGGGAUGAACAGCACUAUGCCAGUUUCCUAAAAGCUCAACCCACAAAAGCUGUGGUAAGAUCUGGCUGGCAUAUUACACUCAAACAACUGAUUUAAUUUGUCUUCUUAUCCAGUAGUUUUACUGACCCUGCCUGCAGUAUUGCUAUUGAUGUACUGCGUUGGUUAAAACUGAUUGGUUUGUUUGUUAAUCAUCUCAUUUAUAGUCAGUUGUAUUUGAUUUAAUUUUCCAUACCCCCCCCCCCCGAAAUAUUUAUCUAGCAGCGAUGUGCUGUGACUAGCUUUCAGAAUUUUUGUCUCUUUUAAGCUCUUCCUCUCACUGUGUUUUUGACGUGGUCCCAGAAAUGAGCAUCACUCAUGCGUUAAAAUCUUAACUCACUCUUAGUGCAAAUAAGUUCUCUGGCAAGUUCGAGGCAAUGGAUUUUAACAGAGUUGCCAAAGUAGGUGUGAGGGCACCUGGUCGUGUAAUUUAGUUCCUAUUGAUUUAUCUUGUCCCCUUUCACAGCAGCAAACUGUAAAUGCUUCCUUUGCUUCACCCACUGUUUGCUCCCUGCCUGACAAGUCUCUCGUCUAGCACUGAUGGAAUGUGUUAGUGAAAGGUGCUUGAGUCAGUGCUGAGACAGAGCUGUCAUCUAGCGCCGGCCCCGCUCUCCGGGAGCCCACGCAGUCGACUUAUAUCUGUUCAUUGUGAAAGGAAACCUUGGCUGUGUGCUGGGACGGCCAUUAGCAAAAGCCACAAACCAAACUUUAAAAGAGACAAAAACAACCCAUUUUGUGGAGUAGACAUAAAAGCAAGGUAUUGCCCAGCAACGGCCCUUUAAACAUCUGAUGGCAUGUCUUAGGAGAGAGAUAAAGUGGCUAUGGUGGUGAAUUUCUUUCUUUGAACUCAGAAUUGCUUGCUGCUGGUUUCCUUCGGAUCAUGAGCAGAAUAUGCUGUAUACAGGCAGUUAUUACUCCAAACCAUGGUUCUUUAUAGAUUCAGCAUGACAUUUUUAAAAUCCUAUUUCACCUCUGGUAGCUGAGAACUCCAGCAGCUCUUGCUUUCUCUUUAAAGCAGUGGUUCCCAAAAUCCUUACCUCAGGUCCCCCAGUCUCCUGGCUGGGGGGGUGGGGUAAGACAUGGACAGAGGUAAGGGGGCCAAGUUGGGGCAGGAGUGGAACCGUGGACAGCAGCCACGGCUGGGAGCAGAUCCCCGGGCGCUCCCUCCCUGCUGGCCAAGGCCCCAGCCACACCCCGCCCCCACAAAUGUUCCUCUGUGCCAAGGGGGGCACACCGCACAGAUUGGGGACCUCUACUUUAGAGACAUCUUCUUUGUGCAGUUGGGAAUUUACCUACCCUACUGAAGUUAUAAUUUAUUUUCCAUGGGCAGAAAGGAGGUUUUAUGGGUGAGGCCCUGGGUGGGGGCUCAGAAUAUCUGGAUUAAUCUCUACCACAGGCUUUCCGUGUGACCCCUGGGGCAAGCCCCUUUCAGUAAAAUUUUCAAAAAGGCCUACAGCCCAGAACCUCCAAAGCGUGUAGGUGCCUAACUACCUUUGAGGAGCUAAGACUGAAUGACUUAGUACCUACGAGACAUCAAUGGGACGUGGGUGAGCAGUUACACAAUGUGACUAAAAAGCUCACAAUCUUGCCUUUAACAAACACGUUAUAAUAGGCCCUGAUCCUGUCCCAACAUGCUAAAGACUCUAUUCCAGUUGUUUGUGGAUUCCCGCUCAUUAUAGGGGUAGCAAUCACAUUUUUUUGCGCAUGCAGCAAGAAGUCAGGAGUGGAACUCUUUGAUGGCUGUAUUGUGUAAUGAUCAUUCACUCUUUCUUCAGCUUUAAUUAUGUGCCACUCUGGUUUUAAAAAUAAUGAAGGGGAAAAAACAAAACUAUUUUUUCAAGUUUUUAUUAAUGUAAAAAAAUGUUGUUUUAGGUGCAUUUUCCAAAAUGGCCCAAACAGCUGCCCUGCCUCCUAUCCCAUAGCUGGGAAAUCCUGCAUGCUCAUGUGAAACAGAGCUGUGCAGGGAUUGGCAUUUGUCAGGCUGUCAAAUCAGCAAACUUCUGAUUUUGCCCCUUCCUGAAUUACAGGCUUGCUUUCAGCAAAUGACCGGUUUUAAAAAGUCAAGCCAAGCCUCGUUUCAAAGGCUGAGAAAUAAAUCUCUCAUAAAUCAGCAUAUGUGGAUUUUAUUUAUAAAGCUAUAAUUCAAUUUUGUUCUAUAAUUGCAAUAUACAGUGUGUAUAUAUAUCUAUAGAUAUAUAGAUACAGUAUUUUCUUUCUGGCCAUAAACACAAGCAAUAAACCAUAUAAUUCUCCUCUUCUGUACUGUACUUUUUUCUGCCUGUACUGCUGAAGUGAUAUCUUACCCCUUUGUAUUCACUUCCACUGCCCUAUAGAAUUUUUAGUGUAUGUUACAGUUUGGUUUGGCGCUAGUCCAACAAAGUGAUCUGCUUUUUUCAUAAUGCACAUAAAGCCAUACAAAUAAUCCAAGCACAGAAAAUACACACAGUAUUGCCAGCCCCAACCAUUCAACAGUUAUGAGUUGGGCCCUCAAAAAUUCUGAUUUUUCCCCCUAAAUAUCUCAUUAUUUUUAAAGGCAACUUUUUUAUUUGUCUUCUGGCCUUUGAAACUUUCAGGUUACACUUGAGUCAUGUUUUCAAGCUAUUCUCUAAAACCACAAGAGCGAGAAACUUUUUUUUUUAAUGAAUGCUGAGAUUCUCACGUACUAACAGGACUCCAGAAGCUAGGACUUUAAAAAUAUCAUGAGGCUUAUGAUAAAAUCAUGACAGCUGGCAACACUGUGGGUGAAAUUCACCCCCCCAGUACAAUUCCAGUUGUCCUAAAUCAGUGGUCUUCCCCCUUUUCCAGCCCAAGACACCCUCAGAUGGGUUUAUCUCAGCUAACCAGGAACUAGUUGAGACCUCCCUCCCAUUUAGCAGUAUCAGAAAGACAAGGAGGUCACUACCCACUGCCUGUUUGCAACCCAUGCCAAGAAUCAUUUAGUUAAUUUAUUACGUGAAACGAUCUUGCCUGAUCACUGGAGAGCAACCACCAUCCAUCUUGUUACCAGAGGCAGGUAAAGCUGAUGCAGUCCUCAGUUAAGAAGAUGCUAAGCACCCACAACUCUGGCUGAAGUGAAUGGAAACUAUGGGUGCUCAGCACUGCUGCUAACCAGACCUUGAGCCUGCAGUCCCAAGUCCGCCGAGCCUGCCACAGCUGGUCCUGCAGUUACAGCUGGGGCAUGGAGGGUGAAACAACCCAGAGGUAGCCUGUGAGGCCACACACAGUCAUAUUUUUCGAUUUUGGAAGGUCUUCCUGCAUGCAGAGGACCCCCUGUUCCUUAGCCUGUCAUUUCAGAACCCUCCCACCGCUCAUAUGUGCAGAGGGACCUAACUGAUUAAGCAUGCAGAGAUGUGAAGCUGAGAUGCCUACCCCAAAAUCCAAGCCUUGGGUCUCACCAAACACUCUAUGUUGCAGGGAAGGGACCCUCUGCAGUAUAGAUCUGUCCCUGAUGGAUCACCUGCCUUGCUGCCUGUAUGGAAUGCUACAGCUUCCCUGGGGAAACGGGAGAGGACCAGAAGCAGUUUGUGCUGUAGCCAGCAAGGUUAGAUAAAAAAGCUCUUAGGUGAUAGAUAUCUGGCCACUCCAGCCCAACCCGUCACAGGGCACAAAUGCAAUGUACUAACAAAUCGAGGUGCCAGAUCUAUUUCUGGGGCGGUGCCUGAGGUGCACAGAGCCAGCUGAUGCUGGAGGUAAAUGAGACAUUAAAUCUUGCAACGUACUGUACAUUCUUCAGCACUUUGGGCAAGACUCCUCUCAAUUUUUGACGACUCCCAUGAAUUCACUUGAACAACAGGACUUGAACCUUCAGGUUAGUUUUUCCUUCUCUAAUUUGUGAUUAAUCUGGAAUAAGACAGAAAUUUGGGGCUUGCUUCUCCCUUCACUGCCAUUCCCAUCACUGGAAGUUUGCCAACUGAGGAGUCUGGUUCUACCUUUCUUUGCACCCCCAAAACUCACACUGAACCCAGCAGUGGGUGAUUUGGGAUGCAGGGGCAGACCCUUUAUCCCUCUCCUUUGUUUAAUCUUUGCCACCCAUGCCUGUUUUUUCAUACUGAGAACAUGGGAAAGAUUUAGGCUGAGAUUUCAAAGUCCCACCUUUGGACAGUCAGUGGGAUUUAGGCACCUAACUCCCUUCGGCCCCCUUUGGGAAUUCGCGAUGUAGGGCUUGGCUGCAUGCAGGAUUCCACUGGUUUAACUUGAGGUGUGAUUUUAAACCACUUUAUUGAAACCAGUGCUAAAGGCUAUGUGGCCACUUCGUUCAGUUUGACCUAGGCUUGUUGUGUCAGCGUCAGCUGAUCAGGAAUCGCUUUAAGCUAAACUGAAACAGAUUGAAAGAAGAGGGUCCACACACUUGCUUAAUUAAACCAUCUUACUUAAGUCAGUGCAAGUUUGUGUGUAAACAAGCCUUUAUACUAUCCCCUCCCCACCCCCCGCACCUCAUUCCUGAUCAAAUCCUUCAUCUUUGACCUGUCUGCUUUGGCCGGAGAGGGUGGAAAAGGUGUUUGUUGAGUACUGGGUUGUUCCAGCUCUCCUGGUAAAGCUCCUAUCUUUUCAAAUCAAGCCUCAAUGCACUUUAAGGCACUGUCUACAUAAGACAGUUGCACACCUUGUAAUUAAAAUCAGUUUUUAAACACUUGUUUUAAAUCAGUGGACAAACUCAUUUUGCUUUAAGGGGGACAUAGUACAGUUUAUUCUGAUUCCUAAAGGAUUUAAGCUAAACUAAAACAAGCCUGGUAAAAUAAGCAACAAAAUGUGUGUCUGGGAUAUGCAGCUGCUAGAUAACCGUACCAGCCACCUUUAUGGCAACUGAAUGGUGUUAAGAUUGUUCCAUGUGAAUAUAGCUACUGGAAAAGAGCCAGUAUCCGUGAGGAAAUAAUACACACCCUCUCUCUCUCUCUCUCUCUCUCUCUCUCUCUCAGAUUGUAGUUAUCUAUUCUGGGAUCUAUCCCUGGAGACAAUACCUUGUAGGCUGACAACCUUGCUGAUGAGGCUCUGAUCCUACCAAGUAUAGCACCUGGCUGCACUCGUCUGGCUGUGUGCUUCAUAUUGCAGGAUCAGGUCCUUGGGACAGAGAGAGCUGCAGCCUUUGUGUUGGCGAAAGCUGCAACCUGCCCACUUGUAACCUCUGCUCUACCUGCAGAAGAGAUGGACCAUGGAGCAAGACAGAGGCGACACACUGGCAUUAUUGAGGGAAGGGGCUGCUCCCGCAGAGCACAUCUAGGGCAGAGAAAUGCAAGUGGGAAAGAAAAGAACAGCUCAGACAGGAGGAAGGACGGUCUUGUGGUUAAAGCAUUAGAUUGAGACUCCUGGAAUCUGGUUCUGUUUCCAGAGUCACUUGUAAUCUUGGGCAAAUCAAUUAAUCUCUGGGGGCCUCAAUUCUCCAUCUGUCAGAUGAGGGAUAAGAAUAUGGGGAGGGACAGUUCAGUGGUUUGAGCAUUGGCCUGCUAAACCCACAGUUGUGAGUUCAAUCCUUGAGUGGGCCACUUAGGGAUCAGGGCAAAAAUUGGGGAUUGGUCCUACUUUGAGCAGGGGGUUGGACUAGAUGACCUUCUGAGGUCCCUUCCAACCCUGAUAUUCUAUGAUUCUAUGUCCCUGCCUCAUGUGAGGAGUCGGAGGAUAAACUUAGGCACUAUGGUGAUGGAGCCAGAGCUAGAUAUCUGUGCAGAGCUCUCUUGAGUGUUUCUAAUGGAGGAAGCUAAGAACUUUUGGAGGAGCGAGCAAACAAACAUAUUGACAGGACAGACUAAGACAGUAAAGGAGCAUUUAAAAGGCCAAACAAAGCAAUGGGAAAAUUGACCAUAUUUUAACAUUGGAGAAGCACGUUCUGCAACCAGCUAGCUGGAACAGCUGGAACAGUGAGGGAGCCGUUACUGACUGGGUCAUUUUCGUCCGUUGAUACACUCUACCUGACAGGAUGAUGGAAAGAUGAGAAUCAACAAGCAACUACAGGAAUCAAAGGGAAGUUUCAAAUUGCAAUAAAUUACCAACCAUCAAAGCUGAAAUAUGUGUGUGUGUGUGGGGUGUUUAUACUUAAAACUCUGUUUGGGGAGGAGUCAGAUGAAAUUGACUGUCAGGAUUCUUAGGAACGUGCUGAGAGAAAGCAGACUAUGUAUACUGGAACAGGACGUAUCACUAAGCAAUAAGGACCUAAGGCAACUGGUAAUUUGGCGGAGAGCAAGAUUCCAUCUAAGUGCCUUUCCCUACCUUUGGGAAUGGAAAAUACGAUGCUGAUCCAGUACAGUCCCUUUGCCAAGUGUGAAGGCAUGGAGCCUGAUUCUCCUCUAAUUUAUAACCGUCUUAGGAGUAACUGACUGAAGUCCAUGGAAUUACAGAACACUGGUGUAAAACCAGUGGAGAUCAGAAUCAGGCCCCAGAAUCCUGCUGCAGAUGCUCUUGUAUUUGUUAGAUCACGACAGAGAGGAGGUGACUCAUCACUGAAUAGCGAAAUGCAGUGAUUCUGAAGGAGAGGUCCCACACAAUGUACACAUAAGACACAAAGAUUGAGGACAAAUCAAUUUUGUUAAUUAGAGAACUACCUAGAACUUGAUACUUUUUUUCCAGUACAAACCGCAAUGAUGCCUAGCUCUUAUAUAGAGCUUUUGAUCAGUACAUCUCAAAGCAUGUUACAAAGGAGGUCACUUAUCAAUAGACCCAUUUUACAGAGAGGGAAAGUGACUUUGCCAAGCCUUUUCCAGAUGUUUUUGGAAGAUCUGUUGGGAUCCACACUAAGACCAUCAGACUCAAGAAAAUGAUUUGUGUAUAGGUAGCAUGUGAGCCCACUAACUUAGAUGUUAAUUAUUCCAUUGACUUCCUAUUCCUCCUGACACCCUAGGGUGAAAUGUUGCCUAGUAAAUCACCGUGUUGUUGCUGAAGAUAUUUCUACAAACAAAGGGAAUGGUUUGAUUUAUUUAAAUCAGAAAUUCUUUAUAUUCAAAAUGAGCCAAAUUAUCUUCUGUUAUUGGUGUAAAUCCAGAGUAGCUCAACCAGUUAGACCAUGUAACAGAACCCUGUUGUUUAAUUUCAGUGAAGUAACACUGGAUUUACACUGGUGUAACUAAGGCCACGUCUACACUACCCGCCGGAUCGGCGGCUAGUGAUCGAUCUAUCGGGAAUCGAUUUAUCGUGUCUAGUGUAGACACGAUAAAUCGAUCCCUGAUCGCUCUGCCGUUGAAGCGGAGUUGACGGGGGAAUGGCCGCCGUUGAUCCCGCACCGCGAGGAUGUGAAGUAAGUGAUUCUAAGUCGAUCUAAGAUACAUCGACUUCAGCUACGCUAUUCUCGUAGCUGAAGUUGCGUAUCUUAGAUCGAUCUCCCCCCCCCCGGAGUAGACCAGGCCUGAGAGGAGAAUUUGUUUAGAUUAGCUUCUCCUAGCUAUUUCAAAACAACAGCAUAUGAAUUUUCAGUGCAAGGAUAGGAAUGAGAACUUAGCAAGACAGCCAUUUUGCACCCUACCCUAUGGGCAUCAGAGCAACCAACCUUCAUCUUUUUUUUUUAAUUCAAACAACUCUCCUGAAAAGGCUUUCUGUUCCUGCAUGCAGUGUGAAAUUCUGCAGGGCUCACCUGGCUCGUUUCCUUUCGGAGUUAGCUUUUAUUACUGAACACUUAUUUAAAAUGGAGAAUAGGGUGGGGUGGGGGAAAUAAAACUAGACACAGAAAAGAAAAUCAAGCAUUUGUAAAAACAUGGCAUGGUUUUUCCAUACAUGCUUCACCCAUGAGUCAGGGGCCAUAUUGUGCACUGACAGAUCUGCAAACCUGCUCUGACAUGUGGGCAAAAGUUUUAGGUGAGCACAUCCCAGCAUGUGAAAAACACAGACAGAGACCAAAGGGAAAACAAUUCCACCCCACAUGCAUGCAGAUAGGAACUUUGUUCCAUGCAAUUUUUUUCCAUAAGGUCAGAGAGCUGCUUUUCUGCUCCACGCCCUGAAGAUCGUACACUUGCUGGGAGGCAGAGUCUAGCAUUCUAGCAGGGUCCUGACAUAGGCAGGGUCCUAUGGGUGCAGUUACAAAAAUAAUCAACAUUGCUCAUGCUUCAAUACUUGCCUUUACUGCCACAUUUCCCCUACUGAGAAUGGGAAACAAGACUCAUUUCAUGGCAAACUUAUUUUAACUGAUUUGUUUUGUGUCACCCAUUAGACUAUAAAGAUCAUCCAUCAUAUUAUGAAACGGGUGCACACCUUUCCCUACCUGGUCAGGACAAUCUGGCUGAAUCUCCACCCAAAAAGCAUCUUUCAAAAGCCAGGAAGUUAUUUUUCAGUGGCUUGAAUUGUGAUUUAUAGAUUGGUUUAUUAGGCUGACUUUCCUGAAAGUUCUUAAUUAAACUUUAAGAGUGAGAAAUUAAUCACCAGCAUGGUUAUUUUAUUAUGCAUGUUCAGUAAACAUAAAACUGCUUGAAAUUUACAUAAUGUCUAACUGAAAACUCUUUAGUAGCCAUAAUUAAACUCUGAUUAUUUA